AUGAACGCUGGCGGCGUGCUUAACACCUGCAAGUCGAACGAAGCACUUUAUUUGAUUUCCUUCGGGACUGAUUAUUUUGUGACUGAGUGGCGGACGGGUGAGUAACGCGUGGGUAACCUGCCUUGUACAGGGGGAUAACAGUUGGAAACGGCUGCUAAUACCGCAUAAGCGCACAGCAUCGCAUGAUGCAGUGUGAAAAACUCCGGUGGUAUAAGAUGGACCCGCGUUGGAUUAGCUAGUUGGUGAGGUAACGGCCCACCAAGGCGACGAUCCAUAGCCGACCUGAGAGGGUGACCGGCCACAUUGGGACUGAGACACGGCCCAAACUCCUACGGGAAGCAGCAGUGGGGAAUAUUGCACAAUGGGCGAAAGCCUGAUGCAGCGACGCCGCGUGAGCGAAGAAGUAUUUCGGUAUGUAAAGCUCUAUCAGCAGGGAAGAUAAUGACGGUACCUGACUAAGAAGCACCGGCUAAAUACGUG
rnacentral:rRNA from 1 species